rnacentral:rRNA from 1 species
ACUGACAGCCAUGGUUACCGCGGCUGCUGGCACGGAGUUAGCCGGUGCUUCUUCUGUGAGUGAUGUCCUUCCUGCCGGCUAUUAACCCGCAGGCCUUCUUCCUCACUGAAAGUGCUUUACAACCCGAAGGCCUUCUUCACACACGCGGCAUGGCUGGAUCAGGGUUGCCCCCAUUGUCCAAUAUUCCCCACUGCUGCCUCCCGUAGGAGUCUGGGCCGUGUCUCAGUCCCAGUGUGGCUGAUCAUCCUCUCAGACCAGCUACGGAUCGUCGCCUUGGUGAGCCGUUACCUCACCAACCAGCUAAUCCGACAUAGGCUCAUCCGAUAGCGCGAGGCCCGAAGGUCCCCCGCUUUCCCCCGUAGGGCGUAUGCGGUAUUAGCCUGGGUUUCCCCAGGUUAUCCCCCGACUACCGGGCAGAUUCCUAUGCAUUACUCACCCGUCCGCCGCUCGCCACCAGGGAGCAAGCUCCCCGUGCUGCCGCUCGACUUGCAUGUGUUAGGCCUGCCGCCAGCGUUCAAU